AUCACUUCUCGGCCUUUUGGCUAGGAUCAAGUGAAGAAUUAUGAUUAAUCCAAUUGUAUGAUUUAAAAAAAAUAAAUUCUUAUUUGUCUAUAUCAGACUGUAUGGCAUUUAUUCCUGGGUUGGUAAAAAGUCUUCUUCCAGUGCUGCAUUUUUCACUGCUAUUGGUUAAGUUCCU
ensembl:snRNA U2 U2 spliceosomal RNA